rnacentral:rRNA from 1 species
CCUACGGGAGGCAGCAGUGGGGAAUCUUGCGCAAUGGGCGAAAGCCUGACGCAGCCAUGCCGCGUGAAUGAUGAAGGUCUUAGGAUUGUAAAAUUCUUUCACCGAGGACGAUAAUGACGGUACUCGGAGAAGAAGCCCCGGCUAACUUCGUGCCAGCAGCCGCGGUAAUACGAAGGGGGCUAGCGUUGCUCGGAAUUACUGGGCGUAAAGGGAGCGUAGGCGGAUAGUUUAGUCAGAGGUGAAAGCCCAGGGCUCAACCUUGGAAUUGCCUUUGAUACUGGCUAUCUUGAGUACGGAAGAGGUAUGUGGAACUCCGAGUGUAGAGGUGAAAUUCGUAGAUAUUCGGAAGAACACCAGUGGCGAAGGCGACAUACUGGUCCGUUACUGACGCUGAGGCUCGAAAGCGUGGGAAGCAAACAGGAUUAGAUACCCUGGUAGUCCACGCUGUAAACGAUGAGUGCUAGUGUCGGUCGAUGCAUGCAUGUCGGUGACGCGAGCGUACGACGAUUAAGUACACUCCGCCGUCGGGUAGGUACGGUCGCGAGAGUAAACUACAANAGAGUAGACGGCGUGAGAGUGACCGACGGACGACGACGAGGGAGGAGG